rnacentral:lncRNA from 1 species
CUGAAUUCUUCCUCCGGGCAAGCUGGACAGCUGCACUGGAACCAAAGAAAUCUGCAGACUCUGUGUAUUUACCCAGGGAUCGCUUUCCUGAGGGUGAACUGUAACCAGCUUCUUUGCAGAAUGGAGCCAUCAUCGGGUGCCAGUAGCACUACAGUACAACGUUUAAAGGGGGAAAUGAAGGCUAGCUCCUCCGAAGGAAACUACAGGGGAAUUUUAGAGCAGCAGAAUGCAAUUAUCCAAGUUGGAAUUGUUCCAGGACACCAAAAGAGAACUCUAAAGGUGGGUGAAUCGAAUAGCAUUUCUCCUCAAUUGCAGGACAAGCAACCACAUCACAUCCCUUGACAAGACUCGUGCUUGUUCUAUUUAUUCGUCUUCACUUUGUGAAUACUACUGGCCAACUCCUGGCCACUGUCAUGUGAAAUGGAGUGUGUAGACCGCUUGAUCAGAAUGGGGGGCAUCAGAUCUACUAAAAGGCGCCCUACACUCUUCAGCUAUCUAAAAAAUGAAAGGAGAUUAUUUUUUUAAUCUAUUCCAAGAUACAAUGCAUUUAUUGACCGGGUACUCAGGAAGACUGUUUUUCCAGCCUUUCUUGCAUCUAAAUGGGACCACAUGACUGGGUUCUCACCAAUGGAAUGUGGGCAGAAAUAUAUACUCAACUUCUAGUUGGGCUACCAAACAACACUUGGUCUCUCAAUUUCUCUCUCAUUCUCCUUCACAUACACACACACACACACACACACACACACACACACACACACACACAC